CGAGGGGAGUGAAAAAGAACCUGAAACCGUGUACGUACAAGCAGUGGGAGCACGCUUAGGCGUGUGACUGCGUACCUUUUGUAUAAUGGGUCAGCGACUUAUAUUCUGUAGCAAGGUUAACCGAAUAGGGGAGCCGAAGGGAAACCGAGUCUUAACUGGGCGUUAAGUUGCAGGGUAUAGACCCGAAACCCGGUGAUCUAGCCAUGGGCAGGUUGAAGGUUGGGUAACACUAACUGGAGGACCGAACCGACUAAUGUUGAAAAAUUAGCGGAUGACUUGUGGCUGGGGGUGAAAGGCCAAUCAAACCGGGAGAUAGCUGGUUCUCCCCGAAAGCUAUUUAGGUAGCGCCUCGUGAAUUCAUCUCCGGGGGUAGAGCACUGUUUCGGCAAGGGGGUCAUCCCGACUUACCAACCCGAUGCAAACUGCGAAUACCGGAGAAUGUUAUCACGGGAGACACACGGCGGGUGCUAACGUCCGUCGUGAAGAGGGAAACAACCCAGACCGCCAGCUAAGGUCCCAAAGUCAUGGUUAAGUGGGAAACGAUGUGGGAAGGCCCAGACAGCCAGGAUGUUGGCUUAGAAGCAGCCAUCAUUUAAAGAAAGCGUAAUAGCUCACUGGUCGAGUCGGCCUGCGCGGAAGAUGUAACGGGGCUAAACCAUGCACCGAAGCUGCGGCAGCGACGCUUAUGCGUUGUUGGGUAGGGGAGCGUUC
rnacentral:rRNA from 1 species